rnacentral:rRNA from 1 species
UACGUAGGGUGCAAGCGUCGUCCGGAAUUAUUGGGCGUAAAGAGCUUGUAGGCGGUUUGUCGCGUCUGCUGUGAAAUUUCGGGGCUCAACCCCGAACUUGCAGUGGGUACGGGCAGACUAGAGUGUGGUAGGGGAGACUGGAAUUCCUGGUGUAGCGGUGAAAUGCGCAGAUAUCAGGAGGAACACCGAUGGCGAAGGCAGGUCUCUGGGCCAUAACUGACGCUGAGAAGCGAAAGCAUGGGGAGCGAACAGG